rnacentral:rRNA from 1 species
ACGCUGGCGGCGUGCAUAAUACAUGCAAGUCGAGCGAACUGAUUAGAAGCUUGCUUCUAUGACGUUAGCGGCGGACGGGUGAGUAACACGUGGGCAACCUGCCUGUAAGACUGGGAUAACUUCGGGAAACCGAAGCUAAUACCGGAUAGGAUCUUCUCCUUCAUGGGAGAUGAUUGAAAGAUGGUUUCGGCUAUCACUUACAGAUGGGCCCGCGGUGCAUUAGCUAGUUGGUGAGGUAACGGCUCACCAAGGCAACGAUGCAUAGCCGACCUGAGAGGGUGAUCGGCCACACUGGGAAUGAGACACGGCCCAGACUCGUACGGGAGGCAGCAGUAGGGAAUCUUCCGCAAUGGACGAAAGUCUGACGGAGCAACGCCGCGUGAGUGAUGAAGGCUUUCGGGUCGUAAAACUCUGUUGUUAGGGAAGAACAAGUACAAGAGUAACUGCUUGUACCUUGACGGUACCUAACCAGAAAGCCACGGCUAAUUACGUGCCAGCAGCCGCGGUAAUACGUAGGUGGCAAGCGUUAUCCGGAAUUAUUGGGCGUAAAGCGCGCGCAGGCGGUUUCUUAAGUCUGAUGUGAAAGCCCACGGCUCAACCGUGGAGGGUCAUUGGAAACUGGGGAACUUGAGUGCAGAAGAGAAAAGCGGAAUUCCACGUGUAGCGGUGAAAUGCGUAGAGAUGUGGAGGAACACCAGUGGCGAAGGCGGCUUUUUGGUCUGUAACUGACGAUGAGGCGCGAAAGCGUGGGGAGCAAACAGGAUUAGAUACCCUGGUAGUCCACGCCGUAAACGAUGAGUGCUAAGUGUUAGAGGGUUUCCGCCCUUUAGUGCUGCA